rnacentral:rRNA from 1 species
UACGGGGGGGGCAAGCGUUGUUCGGAAUUACUGGGCGUAAAGGGCUCGUAGGCGGCCAACUAAGUCGGACGUGAAAUCCCCAGGCUCAACCUGGGAACUGCGUCCGAUACUGGAUGGCUUGAAUUCGGGAGAGGGAUGCAGAAUUCCAGGUGUAGCGGUGAAAUGCGUAGAUAUCUGGAGGAAUACCAAUGGCGAAGGCAGCUCACUGGGACGGUAUUGACGCUGAGACGCGAAAGCGUGGGGAGCAAACAGG